CGGCGAAUUCUCUAAUUUUAUUAGCAUUAACAUGAUCUUUUGUCUUAGUUGUUAAAUGUAUUAUUAGAUAAUAUGUAAUUGUUUGUACUGGGAAGAAUAAAAUUUGUUUAUUUUGUCAUAUUUUGGGGCUUUAAUAUUCUUUAUAAAGGAAAUUGUCACCAACUAACGAAAGCGAAAAUUAUUUGAAUAAUUUAAAUAUUCCAACUUGCUGAUAAACAACCGAUGCCAGUAACUUUUUGUGUUACUCAUACUCAUGUAGAGACUGAAAUGUUGCGGUACUCAUUAUUUACGCCAGUAGUCGUUGGUUGGUUGCGAAUUUUGAAGUGCCUGGGUGUUUUCGUAGUUUUAGACUUGUGCUUUGGAACAACAUUUAAGUCGUUUUAUAUUUUUCUACCUUUGGAUAUUUUCUAUUGUUACAAUGGAAACUAACGCUUCGUUGACAGAGCCGGAAAUUGAAUAUCCGGCUGCGGCCGAUGCAAAAAAUGAUGAAAAUGGGUGUUUAUCCUCCUUCAAGCAAUGCUGUAUGUGGCCAUGGUCACUAAUCGGACACAUCGCUACUGGAUUUGCCACUAAUUGUUGUUUGUAUGGCACAAGUUGUUUAUAAAACAAGGGAGUAUUUACAAAUAAUAUAUCGUUUACGUUUAUUUCUAUGUGCUGUUCGAGACGUACGAAUAUAUUGUAUAGGUGUCA